UGUGCAGUGAAUCAGCAGAAAAGAAGAUGAGGAGCUACUGGGGCAUCUUUGGAGACACAGAUUGAGUCAGUGGAGUCUGAAGGCCCUGAAAUGGAACAUUCAUCUCAGAAAUUACACUGCUCCUCUCCUGGGAAUUACUGGUGUCCUGACAAACAUAGACAUCCAGAACUCCAGUGACAGAGCAAAUAUGUGAGUCAUAGACAAGAUUUUAAAACUCAUUACUAUGCGUUAAAAAUGUUAUGUUAUCAUCACACUGUAUUUCACGGACAAUUCUCACAAUGAAAAUUCUCACAUUGGAUGGACAAAAAUAUUUUUAUACGCAAUUUUUUCACUUAAUGGACUAUGUCUAAUAUACUGGAUUUUAUCACAACGGAAUUUUUAUCAUAAAUGGAUUUUAACACAAAUGGAAGAACAAAUGUAUUAAUAUAUUGAGCUGUUUGAGAGAAGAAUUUUGCACAAAUUGUCACUGACAAUUUACUGAGACGGCUGGGAAUUGAGUCUCUUAAUUGGGAGGUGGUGACUAAUUGGUAAACCCUCCCGUCAAUCACCUUGUAAUCACCUAUAUAUGCACGUUUGUUACACAUUUUGUUUGGCUUGAUAAAGGGCUGGUAUAGCCCGAAACGUUGCCGUUGUCGCACAAAUAAAAGUUUGAUCAAAGAUCA